rnacentral:rRNA from 1 species
AUUGAACGAGGGAGGCAGGCCUAACACAUGCAAGUCGAGCGGAUGAAGGGAGCUUGCUCCUGGAUUCAGCGGCGGACGGGUGAGUAAUGCCUAGGAAUCUGCCUGGUAGUGGGGGAUAACGUCCGGAAACGGGCGCUAAUACCGCAUACGUCCUGAGGGAGAAAGUGGGGGAUCUUCGGACCUCACGCUAUCAGAUGAGCCUAGGUCGGAUUAGCUAGUUGGUGGGGUAAAGGCCUACCAAGGCGACGAUCCGUAACUGGUCUGAGAGGAUGAUCAGUCACACUGGAACUGAGACACGGUCCCGACUCCUACGGGAGGCAGCAGUGGGGAAUAUUGGACAAUGGGCGAAAGCCUGAUCCAGCCAUGCCGCGUGUGUGAAGAAGGUCUUCGGAUUGUAAAGCACUUUAAGUUGGGAGGAAGGGCAGUAAGUUAAUACCUUGCUGUUUUGACGUUACCAACAGAAUAAGCACCGGCUAACUUCGUG